rnacentral:ncRNA from 1 species
AAAAUGGCUCUUUUAAGAGCCACCAAAUAUACUAAAAGAAUUAAACG